rnacentral:rRNA from 1 species
GACGAACGCUGGCGGCGUGCUUAACACAUGCAAGUCGAACGAAGUGGCGAACGGGUGAGUAAAGCGUAAUCAACCUGCCCUUCAGAGGGGGACAACAGUUGGAAACGACUGCUAAUACCGCAUAAUGAAGGAGGGGAUUGCGUCUGGUUAGCUAGUUGGGGGGGUAACGGCCCACCAAGGCGAUGAGCAGUAGCCGGUCUGAGAGGAGGAACGGCCACAUUGGGACUGAGACACGGCCCAGACUCCUACGGGAGGCAGCAGUGGGGAAUCUUCCGCAAUGGACGAAAGUCUGACGGAGCAACGCCGCGUGAGUGAUGACGGCCUUCGGGUUGUAAAGCUCUGUUAAUCGGGACGCGGUACCGGAAUAGAAAGCCACGGCUAACUACGUGCCAGCAGCCGCGGUAAUUC